rnacentral:lncRNA from 1 species
ACUUCAGAAGAGUAUAAACUCAGAAUGUAAAUCUAUCUAUUUAGAUCUCAAGGACCAAAGAAGCUACAUCACAUCAGAAUUAUGACUGUGGUGCUCAAGGAGAGAUUGAAAGAUGUUUUCAAGGAAAGGACGUUAAAAGCCUGCUUUGCCCUUUUGUAUGUGUGGCUAAUCCUGGAGUCCGAGAAGGGAAAAAGAAAAAAGCCUGAAAAAGACCUGUUUCAUAUUUUAUUCCAUGCACUCUGUUCCUCUAGGAUCUUAGGUAUCUUCAUGUUAGAAGCUCAGAGACUCAGCAACAAUCUUCAGGAACCUUGGUUUUCACAUGUGACCAUGAAAGCAAGUCAAUGA